rnacentral:lncRNA from 1 species
GAGAAACAGAGACAGUUACAGAAAUGAUCAAAGAAUUAUAGAUACAGUGAAAACAUAGUAAAGAUGCAACAACUACCAAAUAUAGUCAUGUAGUCUAACAAAGUUCUUCUUGUUAAUCAUUGUAGCAAGGCAGUGUAUGCACACAACUGGAAAGACUGGAGCAACUCAGAAUGGAAUGAGAAACUGUGUUGUUUGGGACAGUGAUGGCACCAGCUGGAUAUGAUUCUCAGGUUCCCUUGAAAUUAGGGAUGGCCUUAUGAUAGUUCUUGUCCAUCAGGCAUAAGCAGAAAUGUUGGCCAUUUGGGAAAAGCUUCAGUUUUAUCAGCAGAUAUACAUUCAUACUUUGAGGCGGCUGGCAAGAUGGCGGAAUAGAAACAGCUUCGGUCUGCAGCUCCCAGCGAGAUCAACCCAGAAGGCGGGUGAUUUCUGCAUUUCCAACUGAGGCUACAAGCCUGUACAGAAUGUUAUGACACUGUAUACUGGAGGCAACUCUAACACAAUGGAUCUAUUGCUUUCAAUUUAUAAGUUUGAUCAACUGCUGCCAAAAGGAGAGUUUUAUCUUCAGAUAAAAA